rnacentral:rRNA from 1 species
AGCGAACGCUGGCGGCAGGCUUAACACAUGCAAGUCGAGCGCCCCGCAAGGGGAGCGGCAGACGGGAGAGUACCACGUGGGAACAUACCUUUUGGUUCGGAACAACUGAGGGAAACUUCAGCUAAUACCGGAUAAGCCCUUACGGGGAAAGAUUUAUCGCCGAAAGAUUGGCCCGCGUCUGAUUAGCUAGUUGGUGAGGUAACGGCUCACCAAGGCGACGAUCAGUAGCUGGUCUGAGAGGAUGAUCAGCCUCACUGGGACUGAGACACGGCCCAGACUCCUACGGGAAGCAGCAGUGGGGAAUAUUGGACAAUGGGGGCAACCCUGAUCCAGCCAUGCCGCGUGAGUGAUGAAGGCCUUAGGGUUGUAAAGCUCUUUUGCCCGGGAAGAUAAUGACGGUACCGGGAGAAUAAGCCCCGGCUAACUUCGUG